GCCUACGUGGUGUAGUGGUCAGCACGCUCGACGCGUAUUCGAGAGGUCCGUGGUUCAAGUCCCGGCGAGGGCA
rnacentral:tRNA from 1 species